UGUGCCUACGGGGCGCAGCAGUGGGGGAUAUUGGACAAUGGGGGAAACCCUGAUCCAGCGACGCCGCGUGAGUGAAGAAGUAUUUCGGUAUGUAAAGCUCUGUCAGCAGGGAAGAAAGAAAUGACGGUACCUGACCAAGAAGCCCCGGCUAACUACGUGCCAGCAGCCGCGGUAAUACGUAGGGGGCAAGCGUUAUCCGGAAUUACUGGGUGUAAAGGGAGCGUAGACGGCAGGGCAAGUCUGGAGUGAAAGGCAGGGGCCCAACCCCUGGACUGCUCUGGAAACUGUCCGGCUGGAGGGCAGGG
rnacentral:rRNA from 1 species